rnacentral:rRNA from 1 species
AUGCAAGUCUACCUGCUAACUCAAGCCAUUAGCUCGGUGGAGAGGAACAUUGACGAGCCGGAUCAGUUCGACUGGCCCUGCGACGCGUCUGGCAAAUACACAGCCAGCUCUACCUAUAUGAGGCUCUGCAUUGGAUACACGCGUGCCCCGGCUGCCGGUUGCAUUUCGCGAAGUUGGGCCCCUCUCAAAUGCAAAAUCUUCAUGUGGUUGGCCUGUCAAUACCGGCUAUGGACUUCGGACCGCCGUGCCCGGCAUGGCCUUCAAGACGCCCCAUCCCCUUGCUAUACUUGUCUCCAAGAUGAGGACAACGCGGAUCACAUUCUCGUGCAGCGCGUCUACGCCUGCGAGGUGUGGCACUCCUGUUUCAGCUCAUGGAGAUUCACCAUCCACACGCCAGACGCAAACGCCACAUUCUUGCAAUGGUGGCUUGAGCAAAGGAGUAGAUUCAGAGGGAAGGCCAAGAGAUCCGUGGACUCCGUCGUGAUUCUCAUCUCAUGA